rnacentral:tRNA from 1 species
GCCACUGUGGUGGAAAAGGUAGACACACCAGAUUUAAAAUUUGGCGGCGGAGGCCAUAUGAGUUCAAAUCUCAUCAGUGGUA